AUGGAGUCUGUGCUCUGCUGGGUUUUCCUUGUCGCUAUUUUAAAAGGUUUCCAGGGUGAGGUGCAGCUGGUGGAGUCUGGGGGAGACCUGGUGAAGCCUGGGGGAUCCCUGAGACUCUCCUGUGUGACCUCUGGAUUCACCUUCAUUAGCUACUAUAUGGCAUGGGUCCGCCAGGCUCCAGGGAAGGGGCUGCAGUUGGUCACAUGGAUUAGCAGUGAUGGAAGUAGCACAUACUACCCAGACGCUGUGAAGGGCCGAUUCACCAUCUCCAGAGACAAUGUCAAGAACACGCUGUAUCUGCAGAUGAACAGCCUGAGAUCCGAGGACACGGCGGUGUAUUACUGUGCGAAGGACACAGUGAGUAGCUACUACAUGUACUGGAUCUACCAAGCUCCAGGGAAGGGGCUGCAGGGGGUCGCAUGGAUUAGCUGUGAUGGAAGUAGCACAAGCUACGUUGACGCAAUGAAGAGCGAAUUCAUCAUCUCCAGAGAAAACGCCAAGAACACGUUCUAUCUGCAGAUGAACAGCCUGAGAGCCAAGGACAUGGCAGUAUAUUCCUGUGCGAGGAACACUGUGAGGUGA